rnacentral:rRNA from 1 species
GAUGAACGCUGGCGGCGUGCCUAAUACAUGCAAGUCGAGCGAACAGAUGAGGAGCUUGCUCCUCUGACGUUAGCGGCGGACGGGUGAGUAACACGUGGAUAACCUACCUAUAAGACUGGGAUAACUUCGGGAAACCGGAGCUAAUACCGGAUAAUAUAUUGAACCGCAUGGUUCAAUAGUGAAAGACGGUUUUGCUGUCACUUAUAGAUGGAUCCGCGCCGCAUUAGCUAGUUGGUAAGGUAACGGCUUACCAAGGCGACGAUGCGUAGCCGACCUGAGAGGGUGAUCGGCCACACUGGAACUGAGACACGGUCCAGACUCCUACGAGAGGCAGCAGGGAAUCUUCCGCAAUGGGCGAAAGCCUGACGGAGCAACGCCGCGUGAGUGAUGAAGGUCUUCGGAUCGUAAAACUCUGUUAUUAGGGAAGAACAAAUGUGUAAGUAACUAUGCACGUCUUGACGGUACCUAAUCAGAAAGCCACGGCUAACUACGUG